rnacentral:rRNA from 1 species
CAAGCGGUGGAGCAUGUGGUUUAAUUCGAAGCAACGCGAAGAACCUUACCAGGCCUUGACAUCCAAUGAACUUUCCAAAAAUGGAUGGGUGCCUUCGGGAACAUUGAGACAGGUGCUGCAUGGCUGUCGUCAGCUCGUGUCGUGAAAUGUUGGGUUAAGUCCCGUAACGAGCGCAACCCUUGUCCUUUGUUACCAGCACGUUAUGGUGGGCACUCUAAGGAAACUGCCGGUGACAAACCGGAAGAAGGUGGGGAUGACGUCAAGUCAUCGUGGCCCUUACAGCCUGGGCUACACACGUGCUACAAUGGUCGGUACAAAGGGUCCCCAAGCCGCAAGGUGGAGCUAAUCUCACAAAACCGAUCGUACCCCGGAUCGCAUUCUGCAACUCGACUGCGUAAAGUCGGAAUCGCUAGUAAUCACGAAUCAAAAUGUCGCGAAGAAUACGUUCCCGGGCCUUGUACACACC